AUGAUGGCCAUCGCUAACCCCACUUUUGAAGAUACCAUGGCCGCUGAAACUGGAUUCAAUGACAUUAAUUUGUGGUUAGAAUGGAUGAGGUAUAAUGCUAACAAACAUAAUAAAACAGCAUGUUAUGUAUGUGGCGGUGCCCGACCCCACCUUGGCACCGUCCCCCUAACUCUCCCUUUAGAGAUAGAAGAUUGCUUCUUAAGCCUUUUUACCUACCAAUAUGACUUUAAUAGGUCCCUCUGCAUGGCAUGGACGGCAGAAUACCCUCUCUUAGUUGAAAAUGUUAAGCCACCAGAUGGAGUCACAGUCUAUAGAGGUAAUUACACUUGUUAUGCCAUGUAUGACGGGAUUGGUAAAUUCAUGGGUAACUUUUCUAAAGGUUAUUGCGCCACUUACAGAACUGUUCCUAUACGCCUGUUGCAACACCAUACCAGGUCAUUGGGGGAUAUUUACUGGUUAUGUGGGGAUCUACAGUUAAGAUCUAGGCUGGAAACUGAGUGGUGGGGUGAGUGUACCCUGGCCAAAGUUAUCAUGCCCAUUCAUAUUAUUUCUGAUAAUCAUCAUGACACAUACGACCCUCCACAUACAUCAGCCAGAGUAAGGCGCGAAACCCCAGUAAAAGGCAGUUUUGACCCCCACAUUUACAUAGAUGCCAUUGGGGUGCCUAGGGGGGUACCUAAUGAAUUUAAAGCUAGAGAUGAAGUAGCUGUAGGUUUUGAAUCACUUUUUACCAUAGUCACUGCCAACAAAAACCUUAAUUGGAUUAAUUCUAUCUAUUACAACCAACAGCGCUUCGUGAACUACACCAGGGAUGCCCUCCAGGGCUUGGCCGAGCAAUUACAGGCCACAUCCCAAAUGACCUUCCAGAACAGACUGGCCUUAGACAUGAUCUUAGCCGAAAAAGGGGGAGUCUGUAAAAUACUUCCCGACACUAUGACUUGUUGCACUUACAUUCCAGAAAACACAGGUCCUAAUGGUAAAGUCACUCUAGCCAUAGCUAAAUUAAAUAGACUCUCAGAAGAGUUAAAGAGAAACUCUGGAGUUACUGAUCCCUGGGAAAAAUGGUUUGGUUGGAUGACUGGUUGGCAGAGAGCUUUAGUCCAGAUUGGUAUUGCCUUACUAAUUUUUCUUUUUUAUUCUCGCUCUUCUCAUUUGUUGUGUCCUCCCAUGCCUAAGGAAAUUCCUGCAGAAAACUGUAGACCAAGCAACACCAACCUUCACUCAUCUGACAAUCGAUGAUCAAGACCUCAUCUCACCCUGUAUUCCGCUACAAACUCUCCCUUAUACUGAUGAAGUGCAGAAAGUCUAGGAAGGGACAGUACAGGGACAGCGUCCGUCUUUAUGGGUAGACUGCCGUACGGAGAAGUAGUGGAUAAGCCACUAUGGGUUACCAGCGGAGUGAAGAGUGUUCCUGAACCGUACUGACGGAUGUGCUGCAGCCUGUUAGGGUCAAGAGAGGGAUAGACUUGCACUUUGCAUUAACACUAAGUCAGCGGUCAUGGGGUUUCUGUGUCUUUGGGCUAAUACUUCU